UACGGGGGGAGCAAGCGUUGUUCGGAUUUACUGGGCGUAAAGGGCGCGUAGGCGGCGCAACAAGUCACUUGUGAAAUCUCCGGGCUUAACCCGGAGCGGCCAAGUGAUACUGUCGUACUAGAGUGCGGAAGGGGCUACUGGAAUUCUCGGUGUAGCGGUGAAAUGCGUAGAUAUCCGAAGGAACACCGGUGGCGAAAGCGGCGCGCUGGAUCUCUACUGACGCUGAGGCGCGAAAGCCAGGGGAGCAAACGGG
rnacentral:rRNA from 1 species